rnacentral:pre_miRNA from 2 species
UCUUAUGGCUGAGCAAAGAAAGUGGUUUCUUGAGAGAGAACCUACUUCUAAUGAAGAUGCUGUAAA